CUACGCUUCACUGACAGUGCUCCUUCACUGGUUAUAAUGCAGAGGAGCUCACAGACACCCGAGUACUUCAGGUUAUGGAGAUGGAUCAAAUCCUCCAGGUUUCAGCACGUCUGACAAGGAAGGAGCGCAUGGUGGAAUGCGUAUGACGUGCCGUCAAGGACUGAAGACAAGGAAAUCUCAAAGCGUAACCAUUCUCAAUUCU